GUUGACUAGAUAGCUCAGCGGUAGAGCAUAACCUUGCCAAGGUUAGGGUCGACGGUUCGAUCCCGUUCGCCCGCUCCA
rnacentral:tRNA from 1 species